UACGGAGGGGGCUAGCGUUGUUCGGAAUUACUGGGCGUAAAGCGCACGUAGGCGGCUUUGUAAGUUAGAGGUGAAAGCCCGGGGCUCAACCCCGGAAUUGCCUUUAAGACUGCAUCGCUAGAAUUGUGGAGAGGUAAGUGGAAUUCCGAGUGUAGAGGUGAAAUUCGUAGAUAUUCGGAAGAACACCAGUGGCGAAGGCGACUUACUGGACACAUAUUGACGCUGAGGUGCGAAAGCGUGGGGAGCAAACAGG
rnacentral:rRNA from 1 species